rnacentral:rRNA from 1 species
AGCGAAUCCCAAACCACGUCUCAGUUCGGAUCGGAGUCUGCAACCCGACUCCGUGAAGCUGGAUUCGCUAGUAAUCACGCAUCAGCCAUGGCGCGGUGAAUACGUUCCCGGGCCUUGUACACACCGCCCGUCAAGCCAUGGGAGCCGGGGGUACCUGAAGUCCGUAACCGGGAGGAUCGGCCUAGGGUAAAACUGGUGACUGGGGCUAAGUCGUAACAAGGUACC